UACGGAGGGUGCAAGCGUUAUCCGGAUUCACUGGGGUUAAAGGGUGCGUAGGUGGGUUGGUAAGUCAGUGGUGAAAUCCCCGAGCUUAACUUGGGAACUGCCAUUGAUACUAUCAGUCUUGAAUACCGUGGAGGUCAGUGGAAUAUGUCAUGUAGCGGUGAAAUGCUUAGAUAUGACAUAGAACACCAAUUGCGAAGGCAGCUGGCUACACGAAUAUUGACACUGAGGCACGAAAGCGUGGGGAGCGAACAGG
rnacentral:rRNA from 1 species